rnacentral:rRNA from 1 species
CUGCCUACGGGACGCAGCAGUGGGGAAUAUUGGGCAAUGGGCGCAAGCCUGACCCAGCAACGCCGCGUGAAGGAAGAAGGCUUUCGGGUUGUAAACUUCUUUUCUCAGGGACGAAGCAAGUGACGGUACCUGAGGAAUAAGCCACGGCUAACUACGUGCCAGCAGCCGCGGUAAUACGUAGGUGGCAAGCGUUAUCCGGAUUUACUGGGUGUAAAGGGCGUGUAGGCGGGGACGCAAGUCAGAUGUGAAAACCACGGGCUCAACCUGUGGCCUGCAUUUGAAACUGUGUUUCU